rnacentral:misc_RNA from 1 species
GAUGAAGAACGCAGUGAAAUGCGAUAAGUAAUGUGAAUUGCAGAAUUCAGUGAAUCAUCGAAUCUUUGAACGCACAUUUCGCCCGCCAGUAUUCUGGCGGGCAUGCCUGUUCGAGCGUCAUUACAACCCUCAGGCCCCCGGGCCUGGCGUUGGGGAUCGGCGGAAGCCCCCUGCGGGCACAACGCCGUCCCCCAAAUACAGUGGCGGUCCCGCCGCAGCUUCCAUUGCGUAGUAGCUAACACCUCGCAACUGGAGAGCGGCGCGGCCACGCCGUAAAACACCCAACUUCUGAAUGUUGACCUCGAAUCAGGUAGGAAUACCCGCUGAACUUAAGCAUAUCAAUAAGCGGAGGA